CGUAUGUGCUGCAUCAUAGCCUGCAGCAAUGGUGUUCAGAGAAAAGCUCAGGAAUUCUAGCUCUGGAGGGAGCUCUCAGAUCUGCACGAUAAGCUGUGCUGCCAGAAGGCUGAGCAUCCUG
rnacentral:lncRNA from 12 species